GAUGAACGCUGGCGGCGUGCCUAAUACAUGCAAGUCGAGCGAACGGACGAGAAGCUUGCUUCUCUGAUGUUAGCGGCGGACGGGUGAGUAACACGUGGAUAACCUACCUAUAAGACUGGGAUAACUUCGGGAAACCGGAGCUAAUACCGGAUAAUAUUUUGAACCGCAUGGUUCAAAAGUGAAAGACGGUCUUGCUGUCACUUAUAGAUGGAUCCGGGCUGCAUUAGUUAGUUGGUAAGUUAACGGCUUACCAAGGGAACAGUGCAUAGCCAACCGGGGAGGGGGUAGGCCAACUGAGAAACUGAACGGCCACCAGAGUCCUGCGGGAGGCAGCAGUAGGGAAUCUGCCGCAGUGGGCGAAAGCCUGACGGAGCAACGCCGCGUGAGUGAUGAAGGUCUUCGGAUCGUAAAACUCUGUUAUUAGGGAAGAACAUAUGUGUAAGUAACUGUGCACAUCUUGACGGUACCUAAUCAGAAAGCCACGGCUAACUACGUG
rnacentral:rRNA from 1 species